CCGGGCGUAGCGCAGAGGCAGGCGCGUGGUCUCCAAAACCAACUCACGCCGGUUCGAAUCCGGCCCCCGGGC
rnacentral:tRNA from 1 species